UCGAGCUUCAAUAGAUGGUGAGUGCCGUGCCGUUCCAGUAGUCGUGUCGCGUGUGUGGCUCCGUCGAAUUGUUUUCCGUUGGUUUCCAGCCCAAAAAACCAUCCGCUUCAAACCAACUCCGGCAGGUACACCAUCACCCAGCACACCGGGUAGGACAUACCAUAGCUUCAUCGUGUUCCGUUGCACGCAAACGGCAAGUCACGGGCCGCAUGCACGGUGCGGCUUAAAGGGGCUGCUACUGCCACUGCCUCGUGGUCGUGAUUGUUUGGCGUUGUUUUCGGUUCCUCGUUCGACAUUUUGAAUUCGGUGCCUCGUUUAGUAUAACCCAGUGCGCUGCCACCCAUUCCUCUGCCUCGUGGUCGCUCCUCGUGCGUGUGUGUUUGUGAUUGUGUGUGUAGGUGAUUUUCGGAAGAUAAUCAAGUGAAUCAGUUAGUGUGGGGUCAGUUUUGCCUGCCAUUAAGUGCUAACGAUUCCAGAGUCUUGUUCUCGGUAACGCACUCGUGACUCAUACCGUCCACCGGGCUGCUCCAUCGACGAACGCUACGUUCGUCGUUUCGCGAGAGGAGAGAAAGCAAGCGAAAAGCACGUGCGUUUAGAAAUCUAGAUGUUGCAUUAAAGCGGGCCUCCGCGAUUAUACUGCCACAGCAAUUAGCAAUUGCCAACCUGCCAAACAACAACUCCCUUCGCCACACACACACACACACACACGCAGACUCCAGUCAAGAGGCGGCCACGAUACGACGUCACAAUGUUACGCGCACACUGGAUACGAGCGUUAGCGAUCGUGCUGGUGGGUGCAUGUGCAACCGGCACUGCAUCUCCCGUUUCGACAACUCCACAAGCCGAGCUCUACCUCUCACAGUUUGGAUACCUGAGUCCCAAAUAUCGGAACCCCACUAGCGGGAACCUGCUAGAUCAGGACACAUGGGAGAAAGCCAUCAUGGAGUUCCAGAGCUUUGCCGGGCUGAACGUUACCGGCGAGCUGGAUGGGGAAACGAUGCAGCUAAUGUCACUGCCACGGUGCGGUGUUAAGGAUAAGGUGGGCUUCGGGUCGGACACACGCUCUAAGCGGUACGCUCUGCAGGGUAGUCGCUGGAAGGUGAAGGAUCUCACCUACCGGAUAUCCAAGUACCCGAAGCGGCUGGAACGGACGGCGGUGGAUAAGGAGAUAGCGAAGGCAUUCAGCGUUUGGAGCGAGUUUACGGAUCUACGCUUCACGCCAAAGAAAACCGGUGCCGUCCACAUCGACAUUCGGUUCGAGGAGAACGAGCACGGUGAUGGUGAUCCGUUCGAUGGUCCGGGCGGUACCUUGGCCCACGCGUACUUCCCGGUGUACGGCGGUGAUGCACACUUUGACGAUGCGGAACAGUGGACGAUUGAUAAACCGCGAGGCACCAACCUGUUCCAGGUGGCAGCACACGAGUUUGGCCACUCGCUGGGACUUAGUCAUUCGGAUGUGAGAUCGGCCCUGAUGGCACCGUUCUACCGUGGGUACGAUCCUGUCUUCCGGUUGGAUUCGGAUGAUAUUCAGGGCAUUCAAACUCUCUACGGAACCAAGACACGAACCGGUGGUGGAAGCGGAGGUAGUGGUGGUGGAUCUGUCACACCGACGAGAACACCCAGACCAAAGACACCGACCGAGCUGGAUUCGGAGCUGUGCACGUCUCCGAAGAUCGACGCCAUAUUCAACACUGCCGAUGGCAGUACGUACGCCUUCAAGGGCGAUAAGUACUACAAGCUGACGGAGAAUGCAGUCGCUGAGGGAUAUCCGAAAAAGAUCGCCGACGGAUGGCCAGGACUUCCGGGCAACAUCGAUGCAGCGUUCACGUACAAAAAUGGCAAGACAUACUUCUUCCAGGGCACCAAAUACUGGCGGUACCAGGGCCGUCAGGUCGAUGGUGACUAUCCGAAGGAGAUUAGCGAAGGGUUCACCGGCGUGCCGGACCAUCUCGAUGCGGCGAUGGUGUGGGGCGGCAAUGGCAAGAUCUACUUCUACAAGGGCAGCAAAUUCUGGCGGUUCGAUCCGUUGAAGCGGCCACCGGUCAAGUCCACCUACCCGAAACCGAUCUCGAACUGGGAAGGCGUGCCGAACAGUAUCGAUGCGGCACUGCAGUACACCAACGGGUACACCUACUUCUUCAAGGACGACAAGUACUAUCGGUUUAACGAUAGAACGUUCACGGUUGACCAGUCCGAUCCACCGUUCCCGCGACCGACGGCACACUGGUGGUACGGUUGCAAGAACACACCGUCGACCUUCAACACGCUAGGUAAUGUACGAUUGCAAAAAUCCGACGAACAUCCCGACGAUAUCACCAAUUUGAUUCUGGAUGCCGCUACCGAUGACUAUCAACCGUACAGUCGCAACGGUCUGUAAAUCGCCCGUAAAGGCCGGACGCCCCGUCGCCUGGCCUGUUUCCUAUUCUACUGCAUCCGCUCUCUAUCUGCUCUAUCUGCUCUAUCCUUCCACCCGAUCUGUACAUCUGUUUGUAGCGCUCUUUGACAGCUCUAUCCUUCGCUAAGCAUGAAGAUCGUCCAGCCAUGAAAACGACUGGAACCUGCGAAUCAUUGUGACAGCAAGCUGUGUUCAAUCAAACAUACACAACCAAACACAACACACACACAUGCAACAGAACUACCCGCCUGUUAGAUGUUUAGCAUAGCAGGAGCAUUACUAGAGACAGAAGCAUAAUACAGAACGCCCCUAGUCCGAAUAUCGGAAUCAAGGAUUGUUCGGAGCUAAGCGCUGCUAGAACCAAAAUGUGCCAAACGUGUUGCGCGUGCAAUUUAGAACACCGUGACAGCUGUCAGCUGUCAGUAUCCCGUGCGUGUAAGCGUUUCUUUUAGUAUUGUAAGCCUGCUAUCGACAGAUUUCUCAGUGCAGUCGUGCUAGUGAAUUGGAACUACUAUGGACACUCUUCCUCCAAAAGUGACAUUACUUCAUGUAUGCGGACCAUUGAGGCGUUACACAGACAGGUCCCAAAAUUCGUUAUUCGCUUAGCUAGAAUCGUACCGAGAUUCGUUUGUACUUUGUUUGUUGUUUUUUCUUUUCUUUCUUCAUUUUGCUACGCGCAUUACGUACACCGUGCCGUGCUAGUUGUGCUUUUUCUGUUACCGUUUCCGAAUGAAAACUGCGUAUCACCUGUUUUACAAUCCAACCCGAUUCGCGGCUGUUGCGAGCGUCCCUAUGCACACGCGCUAGUGGAGCACCUUUGCCGUGUGAUCGACCGUGCCUGUGUUGACCCUCAAGCAAUGUGUUGUUAUCGUUUUCUUCUACUAUUUUUUCAUCCCCAAAACAAUCCAAUCACUCCCCCAUCCCCCCAAAACGCAUUACGCCAACGCAGCAGAUACGGACGAUCGGCCAGAACCGGACAGCUAUAGUGGCAAUGGAGGAGGACGCGCCGGCAUCAAGCUCAGUAUUACUACCCUUUUGGCGGCCGUGCUCGGAGUGUACCUUGUCAGCUGCUGUUAGCUCUUCGACUUCAAAAAGUAAACUACCCCAGACCAACAAUUGGCGAACCUGUAGACGAAAGCGACACACACAACAACCCUUACAGGCACAGGUGUCCUGGUCGCGAACUUCAGACAAUCUCGAUCGCGAGAACUGCCACCAAGAGUGUCGGAUGGACCAAACACAACCGAGCUUAGCAACAUCAAGAACCCGAAAUUGAUCUCAACGGUGAGCAGUGCACAUCCAUGGGGUUGACAGGAACAGACUGGUUAGGGUUUGGUGGAUUUCAUACAACGCUAGGGAAGCUUUCGGAGUGUAGAUAGUAAGAGAGAGAGAGAGUGAGCUCUGAUUUCAAGAUUUCGAAAUGUGUCCACCAAAGGGGGCGAGCAUUGGCAAAACCUACAACCCUUGAGGUGCUUCAAUUGGCGUUGAGAUAUUGUUGAGAGACGAGUGAGACGCGAACGCAAGUCACUAGCCAUAGGACUUUUUUUUGCUAGCUAAUUGGUGUUUUAAACAAUGAAUCGGGAUAUCCUGGUCUACCAGUAACUGGUGCCUUCGAAAAGUGUUGCUAAAGAAAAGAAAGAGAGAGAGAGAGAGAGAGAGAGAGAGAGCAAAAUCGAACAGAACUACAACAUAUCUGUACAUAUCAUACAUCCAGGGCAGAAGGAACGCUAGGGCUGUUCCCUCCAGCACAUUCCGAAGGGUAGCUCGAGCACGAUCGUAUUCGAUCGUGCACGUUUAGGGCAAUAGAGAAGGAAACGAAUAUUAUGUCAACUGUUGAUAGAGAGAGAGCUCGCGCGCGCGCGAUGUGUAGAAUGGAAAACGCUGCGGGAAGCGCAAUCCAUCCGAAAAAGCAAAACGGCACCCAGUUAUAACUGUGUAAUAUGUUAGAUACGAAUUACAUUUUAAUUGUACCAUGUAUGUUAAGCCCGGUUUACAGGCAGGGCGAAACCAAACCAUCCUUAACCCUCCAAAACUCCAACACACCGUCUUCAACACGUGAAUCGCAACGCAUAAUCAACUGCCGGGCAGGCAGGGCCCAUCGGCAGGCCCGCCGACCGUUCGGUGACCAAUGCUGUACCAGCAUUUUGUACAUAUUUAUUACUGUUUACCGUACCGAGCGAGCGGACUUUGCAGAGAGCUGCAAUUCCGUACAGCGAUUCCGGGUGGCACGAGAUGGCAGUGGAAAAGAGGUGGAAAAUAAAAAGAAAACCGACAAACUGACAUGUUUUAACCA